rnacentral:lncRNA from 1 species
GAUGAAUCCCAAAUUCGUGGUGGGGGCACGAGCUUCACUUCCGAGAGGGUCUGCAGAGCUGCCAUGCCUCCGUGGUGCUGAAGGGGAAGCAGGGACAGCCACUGUCCUUUCCGGAGCUGCGCCCCGUGGCUGAGGACAUCGUGAGGAUCACCUGGAUGUCUGAAAGGCACGGCACACACAUUGCCGAGGCCAAGCCUAGGGUGAAGGAGUUUGCAGUGGGUUUCCUGCCUGAAUUCCAAGACCGGCUGCGAAUCCAUCCCCAGGUACUGUCGCUGGAGAUCACAGAGCUGCGCAGCACAGAUAUAGGCCGGUACUCUGCAGUGGUGGACACCGCCUCCAAGCCCAGCAGCCCCAGUACAUUUUCCUACCUUGUGGUUCUCGAUCACCCCCCUGGGACAACUGACAGCGACACAGGAGGACACAGCAGGAGCACAUCUGGACCAACAAUGAGCUCUGAGCCCGGUGCUGGGGAGGGGACCACACUGGGCCCGGGCAAGGGGCAGCUCCCAGGUGCUGGGGAGGCUCCGGGGCCAUGUGGGGCACGGGGUGGGUACUGCAUGCUCAGGGG